UGUAGCUGGUUUUAUAUGAAAUUGCGUAAUUUAUUAUUUAAAUACACAGAAUGGUAUCUGGGCAGGGCCCUUGCUCCAGAUCCAGUAAUAAAUAGUUGAUAUAAAGUUAAUAAAAUAAUCAUAGGAUUAAGAAAACAAAUAUAGGUAUAAAAUAAAACAAAUUAAGUACAUAGGAAUGAGAAUAUGUCACCUUAAGGAAAUGUCUCUGAUGUUAUGCUGAAUUCACUUAUUAGCGUGGGUUAUGUUGAAUCCAAUAUACAGCGAUAACCAGGAUGACUUAAUUAAUAUAUCAGAUUCCAGUCACAUAAAACUUUGUUGAACAGUUUGAUUUAUAUAGGUAGUUUCUGUGCAAGAAUAAAUAAUUGCUGGAUAACCAGAGAUAGUAGAGUGGCAGUAUAGUAGCGAUAUAGUCUGUCCCGCUGGAUAAACUAUACAGGAUGGUACAGACUGCGCCCGGCCUGCACAUACAAAAAUGCCUGUAUGAAAGGUGAAGAUCACAGCUUUGGUGGUGUGUGACGUCGGGAUGUGCUGACACCGCUAUGCGAGGGAUUGUCGGCUGUCUCCACUGUGAUAAGGCACGGAUCUGUGUCUGGCUCACUGCUGCGAUGUCCAGGCAGCAGGAGUCACAGGUACAGCCUUCACCUGUCUCGUCCUCAUGCAGCAGUUGAGAGGUUGUAAAGCAAGUCUCACACUUGGCAGUGGUCUCCUAUUGAAGGACUGCAGCGCUUGCAAGGAAGUAUGAAUGUUGAUAUGCAGUGGCAAUAAGGUUAUAUCCUCGAUAAAUCAAGAGAACAAGGAAACAUUGGCAUACUCUUCAGCCUGUGGGUACAGAAACGCCUACAUGAGUCUGCAAGUCUCCAGAUCUAAGCAAUUCUUUGGAUCGGAAAGACACAUACGUAUUUUGCAAGCAAUGUGAUAGUUACACAAGUCUUUUCCGAGGUGUUAUUUACAGAGAAGACAGAAGCUGGCAGCCCUCCUUAUGAAAUAUAUCCUGACUCCAAGAUACCAAACACCUACUCUCGGUUUCAAGACUACAGUUAUGUUUCUGAAAAGUAUGAACAUUUCCCCGCUGGCCAUUGUGCAGAAGAGACAGAAGGACUGGCUAUAU